GAUGAACGCUGGCGGCGUGCCUAAUACAUGCAAGUCGAGCGAACGGACGAGAAGCUUGCUUCUCUGAUGUUAGCGGCGGACGGGUGAGUAACACGUGGAUAACCUACCUAUAAGACUGGGAUAACUUCGGGAAACCGGAGCUAAUACCGGAUAAUAUUUUGAACCGCAUGGUUCAAAAGUGAAAGACGGUCUUGCUGUCACUUAUAGAUGGAUCCGCGCUGCAUUAGCUAGUUGGUAAGGUAACGGCUUACCAAGGCAACGAUGCAUAGCCGACCUGAGAGGGUGAUCGGCCACACUGGAACUGAGACACGGUCCAGACUCCUACGGGAGGCAGCAGUAGGGAAUCUUCCGCAAUGGGCGAAAGCCUGACGGAGCAACGCCGCGUGAGUGAUGAAGGUCUUCGGAUCGUAAAACUCUGUUAUUAGGGAAGAACAUAUGUGUAAGUAACUGUGCACAUCUUGACGGUACCUAAUCAGAAAGCCACGGCUAACUACGUGCCAGCAGCCGCGGUAAUACGUAGGUGGCAAGCGUUAUCCGGAAUUAUUGGGCGUAAAGCGCGCGUAGGCGGUUUUUUAAGUCUGAUGUGAAAGCCCACGGCUCAACCGUGGAGGGUCAUUGGAAACUGGAAAACUUGAGUGCAGAAGAGGAAAGUGGAAUUCCAUGUGUAGCGGUGAAAUGCGCAGAGAUAUGGAGGAACACCAGUGGCGAAGGCGACUUUCUGGUCUGUAACUGACGCUGAUGUGCGAAAGCGUGGGGAUCAAACAGGAUUAGAUACCCUGGUAGUCCACGCCGUAAACGAUGAGUGCUAAGUGUUAGGGGGUUUCCGCCCCUUAGUGCUGCAGCUAACGCAUUAAGCACUCCGCCUGGGGAGUACGACCGCAAGGUUGAAACUCAAAGGAAUUGACGGGGACCCGCACAAGCGGUGGAGCAUGUGGUUUAAUUCGAAGCAACGCGAAGAACCUUACCAAAUCUUGACAUCCUCUGACAACUCUAGAGAUAGAGCCUUCCCCUUCGGGGGACAAAGUGACAGGUGGUGCAUGGUUGUCGUCAGCUCGUGUCGUGAGAUGUUGGGUUAAGUCCCGCAACGAGCGCAACCCUUAAGCUUAGUUGCCAUCAUUAAGUUGGGCACUCUAAGUUGACUGCCGGUGACAAACCGGAGGAAGGUGGGGAUGACGUCAAAUCAUCAUGCCCCUUAUGAUUUGGGCUACACACGUGCUACAAUGGACAAUACAAAGGGCAGCGAAACCGCGAGGUCAAGCAAAUCCCAUAAAGUUGUUCUCAGUUCGGAUUGUAGUCUGCAACUCGACUACAUGAAGCUGGAAUCGCUAGUAAUCGUAGAUCAGCAUGCUACGGUGAAUACGUUCCCGGAUCU
rnacentral:rRNA from 1 species